CAAGUCGAACGAGAAAGUGGAGCAAUCCAUGAGUAAAGUGGCGCACGGGUGAGUAACACGUGGCUAACCUACCCUGGAGUGGGGGAUAACUGAGGGAAACCUUAGCUAAUACCGCAUAAUACCCACGGGUCAAAGGAGCAAUUCGCUUCAGGAGGGGGUCGCGGCCGAUUAGUUAGUUGGCGGGGUAAUGGCCCACCAAGACGAUGAUCGGUAUCCGGCCUGAGAGGGCGCACGGACACACUGGAACUGAAACACGGUCCAGACUCCUACGGGAGGCAGCAGUGGGGAAUUUUGCGCAAUGGGGGAAACCCUGACGCAGCAACGCCGCGUGGAGGAUGAAGUCCUUCGGGACGUAAACUCCUUUCGAUCGGGACGAUUAUGACGGUACCGGAAGAAGAAGCCCCGGCUAACUUCGUGCCAGCAGCCGCGGUAAUACGAGGGGGGCGAGCGUUGUUCGGAAUUAUUGGGCGUAAAGGGUGCGUAGGCGGUUUUGUAAGUCUUAUGUGAAAUCUAUGGGCUCAACUCAUAGACUGCAUGAGAAACUGCAGGGCUUGAGUGUGGGAGAGGUGAGUGGAAUUUCCGGUGUAGCGGUGAAAUGCGUAGAUAUCGGAAGGAACACCUGUGGCGAAAGCGGCUCACUGGACCACAACUGACGCUGAUGCACGAAAGCUAGGGGAGCAAACAGGAUUAGAUACCCUGGUAGUCCUAGCCCUAAACGAUGACUGCUUGGUGUGACGGGUACCCAAUCCCGCCGUGCCGUAGCUAACGCGUUAAGCAGUCCGCCUGGGGAGUACGGUCGCAAGGCUGAAACUCAAAGGAAUUGACGGGGGCCCGCACAAGCGGUGGAGCAUGUGGUUUAAUUCGACGCAACGCGAAGAACCUUACCUGGGCUC
rnacentral:rRNA from 1 species